AUUGAACGCUGGCGGCAGGCUUAACACAUGCAAGUCGAGCGGAGCCUUCGGGCUUAGCGGCGAACGGGUGAGGAAUGCCUGGGAAUCUGCCUGUUAGUGGGGGAUAACGUUCCGAAAGGAACGCUAAUACCGCAUACGUCCUACGGGAGAAAGCAGGGGACCUUCGGGCCUUGCGCUAACAGAUGAGCCCAGGUCGGAUUAGCUAGUUGGUGGGGUAAAGGCUCACCAAGGCGACGAUCCGUAGCUGGUCUGAGAGGAUGAUCAGCCACACUGGAACUGAGACACGGUCCAGACUCCUACGGGAGGCAGCAGUGGGGAAUAUUGGACAAUGGGGGAAACCCUGAUCCAGCCAUGCCGCGUGUGUGAAGAAGGCCU
rnacentral:rRNA from 1 species